GAUGGAGAAAGAAAGUAGGAAGUGCGCUGUUGGGAAGGUGAAUGACGAGUCACGUGCACGGUACUCUCGUCACAUCAGUGGGAUUUAAACAAUGUCCUACGGUGGAUGUACGUAGUCGUUCUCUGGAGCCUUCCGUGUGUGUGUGUGUGUAUCUCUCUCUCUCUCUCUCUCUCUCUCUCUCUCUCUCUCUCUCUCUUUCCGAUAAUGCCUGCUUGACACACAACGCCAGUGCCUGCUGAGAUUACGGGUGGCUUUGAAGAGAAAGAUCAACACCUUAUGGACUUAGCAAUGGUACACGUGAGGUUCUUCGGUUUUUAUCCCAAAGAACCACGUCGUGCCCCGCCGUUGACGUUCCUCCUUCAUUGGGUCAAGGCAGCCCCCACCACUACCUCUGCAGCCACCACCACCGCCACCACUACCACCACCGCCACCACCAUCACUAUCGCCCAAUACAUUCCUGUUACGGUGAAGCAUCUCCGGAGAAAAGAGUGCGGGAGCGUUGAGAGCGAGUACCGGGAGGGAACGAUGCGGCCAGCGAUAUACGAGAGGGAGGGGUGUGUACUCCUUGCCUCGCUGCUUGGGUGUUGAGGGGAGGCACGCCCAGCACGGGAUGGAAAUGUAGAGGAAAGAGGAAGAGGAGGAGGAGAAAAAAAGGGGAACACAGAAAAAUACAAAGGAAAAACGAACAAGUAGAUCUGUAGGUUGUUAAGAUGUGGCCGUCAGCCUGGACUGGGACUGGCAGAUGUGGUCCACCUGCGUAUCAGGUGGAUGGUGUAUCAGUCACUGAUAACAAGAGAGGGUGGACACACGUUGUUUUGUGGUCACGGUAAGUUGAAGCCUCACACAGCUCUUAAUGUGACCCCACACUGAGCGCCGUCAUCAUUACCAUCAUUCAGCCCGACCUCUGUGCCCCCAUCACCAUGGCAUUCAUCGUCGUCUCUCUUUUCACAUGAAGGUUUACGUGCGACUUGCAGGCGGUGAGGCAACAAGACACAAACGCGACGAGG